CUUCAUCCAAAAGACUCCAAA
rnacentral:miRNA from 1 species